AAAAAAAUUUAUAUUUUUUAUAAUUUAUUUUAAAUUUAUUUUACAUAUAAAUUUUAGUAUUAAUUUUUAAUUAUUUAAAUAAUAUUUAAAUUUUAACGGUAGUAAUUAAUUUUAAAGAUUUAAGAAAUUAAGAUUUAGUAAUAUAAAAAUUAAUAACUAAUUUUGUGCCAGCAGUUGCGGUUAUACAAAAAUUAAAUUAAAUUAUUUCAGUAUAUAAUAAAUAAAUAUUAAUUAAAAUAAAUAUUAAAUUAUUGGGUGAAAUUUUAAUUUAAUUAAAUUUUAUAUUAAUUUUAUGAAUUAAUAGAUUUUAAUAUAAACUAGGAUUAGAUACCCUAUUAUUAAAAAUUUAAAUUAUAAUACUAAAAUAGUAAAUAUAAGAUAUUGAAACUUAAAUAAUAUGGCGGUAUUUUAGUUCAUUUAGAGGAAUCUGUUUAAUAAUUGAUAAUCCACGAAUAAAUUUACUUAAUUUAUUAUUUUAUAUAUCGUUGUUAAAAAAAUAUUUUUUAUAAAAAAUAAUAUUUUAAAAUUAAAAUAAAAAAUUAAUUCAGAUCAAGAUGUAGAGUAUAAUUAAGAAUAUAAUGGAUUACAAUAAAUAUAUUUAAAUGAAUAAUUAAUUGAAAUAUAAAUUUGAAAGUGGAUUUAAAUGUAAUUUUAUUUAAUUUAAUAAAAUGAUUAAAAAUUAAAAUAUGUACAUAUUGCCCGUCACUUUCAUUUAAAAAUUGGAAUAAGUCGUAACAAAGUAGAGGUACUGGAAAGUGUUUCUAGAAUGAA
rnacentral:ncRNA from 1 species